CUGCUAGUUGAUUCACUUACUCACCCACUAACAUUGAGCUCCUUUUCACUGUCUGUGGGCAAGGGGAAAAAAAAGGGGGGGGAAGGAAGAAAAAAGAAAGCAGGGGAAGAAGGAAGAAAGGAGGGGAAUAAACAAAAUUAUAUAUUUAAAAAUACCCGAGUAGAGCUGCAAAUCAGUUGGGAAAGAGGAUUUUGCCUGCCUUCUUCCUUAUUAUUUUGCUGCUGCAAGGCUGCUUUGCAAUCCGUAGGAAAAUGGAUCUGGUUAUGUGAGGGCGCUGAGGAAACAGUCCCCAGCUACUGAGAGGAAGAAAGGCCGGUGGGAAAUACUCAGGUAGGAAAGCUGUGUAUGUCAUCCAGCAGUAAAAACACUUGUGGGCCUUCGUUCCUUUUCCAGACACUGUGUCGUGUUUGAUGCUUGAAUGGCUGAUCUGGUCACUAUCAUAGUUUAUUUGUUGUUUUAAGAAGCAGCCCUGUUUGGUCAAUUGAUUGCAACAACAAAACACUGCAAGCAAAGCCCUCAGCAUAAACAUUCCUCAGGCUAUCCCCGGUACAGUAUUGAUCCUGAUACGGAAUACAAACAAAUUACUCUGUGUGUGCGCCAUUCCAGCUAUAAAACAGAGCAAUAAUAUGUUCUACUUGCUGCCAAUAAAUGUGCA
rnacentral:lncRNA from 1 species